rnacentral:rRNA from 1 species
UCGAUGGGAAACGGGUUAAUAUUCCCGUACUUGGUGUUACUGCGAAGGGGGGACGGAGAAGGCUAUGUUGGCCGGGCGACGGUUGUCCCGGUUUAAGCGUGUAGGUGUGUGUUCCAGGUAAAUCCGGUUCACUUUAACACUGAGGCGUGAUGACGAGGCACUACGGUGCUGAAGCAACAAAUGCCCUGCUUCCAGGAAAAGCCUCUAAGCAUCAGGUAACAUCAAAUCGUACCCCAAACCGACACAGGUGGUCAGGUAGAGAAUACCAAGGCGCUUGAGAGAACUCGGGUGAAGGAACUAGGCAAAAUGGUGCCGUAACUUCGGGAGAAGGCACGCUGACAC